UUGGGCCUAUGGGGGGCAGCAGUAGGGAAUCUUCCACAAUGGACGAAAGUCUGAUGGAGCAACGCCGCGUGAGUGAAGAAGGGUUUCGGCUCGUAAAGCUCUGUUGGUAGUGAAGAAAGAUAGAGGUAGUAACUGGCCUUUAUUUGUCGGUAAUUACUUAGAAAGUCACGGCUAACUACGUGCCAGCAGCCGCGGUAAUACGGAGGUGGCAAGCGUUUUCCGGAUUUUUUGGGCGUAAAGCGAG
rnacentral:rRNA from 1 species